UAAAAUUAGUAGAAUGAUUGAAAAAAAAAAAGUAAACAUAAUAUAUGUAGUGUAAUUUUCUCCAUAUGAAGUAUCAAAAAGACCCAUGGGUUUGUUUUUAGUGCAAUAAGAUAGUGACAUGUCAUCUAGUUGUUAAUGAUCCUUUUACUUUCAUUGGCCAAAGUGCCAAACUUAUUAGUUGAAGAAGAUGAUGAUAGGAAGGUUUUUUUUUGGUUGGUCGGUGUGUUUUCUCCAAACCGGUGAGGCGCGUCUCAAUUCAGAGAUGAGAUUUUUGAUUAUAUCCAUUCGGACCUUGAGUUACAUCUAGAACAAAAAUCAAAGGUAAGAGCAAGAGUUAUUCGGUUCAACCAUGAGUUAAAGAACAGGACAACUUGUGUACAUGUUCUGGUCUACUUAGCCUAUGAGGCUGAGUUAGUUAAGGAGAACAAUUUCUAUUACUACUUUUGAAAAUCACCAAAAUGUUUUGUACUAGGCUUUACAUUUGUGAGUCAAAAUGUUUAGUUUUUAAAGGGAUCCAGAGACUCAAAAUUUUCCAAUUGAAGUUUUAUUAUAAAAUGUAUGAUUUAUGAUUUAAAUUAUUAGUUUAUUUUAAUUAAA